UCGAUACAACCGGUCACAGUUCGGAACUUGUUCCCGUUUAAUUCGGCCGCUAAAUUCUGUUUAUUCAGUGUUGUUUUAUAAUUUUUAUUAGAAAAAUUUAUGUGUCAAUGACAAAAUUGAAGAGAAAAUUCGCGAUAACCGACAAAUUUUUGCCAAGGCUCGCUAAAAAUCUGUGCACCCGAAAAGGCAGUCGUCGUGCUAAUACCGGGAACCGUUUGGAGCACGCCGUACUAACUCACAUUCAGCACGUACCGUAGAGUGUCCGUCGUAACUUCUUCACUCAUCAUCCAUCAUCAUCUCCCACUAAAACACGGUCGACAAGAUGGCCCGCGGCGAUGAAUGCAAAACUGCCACUAAGGCGACAUAUGCUUGCAAGCAAUUCGAUGUAUCUGCUCCAAUCAAAAAACCCACAGCUAGCCAGUCAACUAUUCAAGAAAAGAAAAAGCCGGAGCAGAAAAAUUACGGCGCCUGGGGUUCUACAUUCAAAGACAAGAAAACAUUUGUCGACAUGCAUAUUUGCUGAAUCAACGUCGGCUCCACAAUCAUCGCUUAUCUACAAAACGUCACCAACUACCAAAAAGAUUUGAUAUAAAAUAAAAAAUAAUGUUAGUGGCGUUUUAGCUUAUUCUCUUCACUUCAACGGUUUAGGGUGUCUCGCGUACUAACAAAGCCUUGUAUCAUGUUAACAAUUAAAGCAUCAUCAUUUGCA